rnacentral:rRNA from 1 species
UACGUAGGGUGCAAGCGUUAUCCGGAAUUAUUGGGCGUAAAGCGUUCGUAGGCGGUUCAGAAAGUUUGCGGUAAAAUUUUUUGGCUCAACCAGAGAAGCGUCGCAAAAACUUCUGGACUCGAGAAUAACAGGGGCAACUGGAAUUCUGCAUGUAGGGGUAAAAUCCGUAGAUAUGCAGAGGAACACCAAAAGCGAAGGCAGGUUGCUGGGUUAUUUCUGACGCUCAGGAACGAAAGCGUGGGGAGCAAACAGG